rnacentral:snRNA from 1 species
GGAUGUGAGGGUGAUCUGGCUGCGAUAUCUGUUACCCUGCUGAUUGCCAGGGUUGAUUUGGCUGAUCUGGCUGGCUGGACAGCUGCCCCCUUCCUUCCUCAUGGGUCCCAGUGUGCCCCUCCCGACGCUGCGUGGUGUGUUGAAAAGGACAACCAUCCCCAAUAGAGGAGGACAAGUCUUCCAUAUACAAGUAGCUGAACUCCGGUGAGAACAUCCAAACAAGCUCUCAAAAAUGCAAACUGGUUGGGUGCAGUGGCUCACGCCCAGUAAUCCCAGGACU